rnacentral:rRNA from 1 species
UGGGGAAUAUUGGACAAUGGGCGAAAGCCUGAUCCAGCCAUGCCGCGUGAGUGAUGAAGGCCCUCGGGUUGUAAAGCUCUGUCGAGAGGGAAGAAGCAAUGACGGUACCUCUCAAGAAAGCACCGGCUAACUCCGUGCCAGCAGCCGCGGUAAUACGGAGGGUGCAAGCGUUGCUCGGAAUCACUGGGCGUAAAGCGCACGCAGGCGGCGUGCCAAGUCGAGUGUGAAAUCCCUGGGCUCAACCCAGGAACUGCACUCGAAACUGGUACACUUGAGUCCGAGAGAGGGUGGUGGAAUUCCUGGUGUAGAGGUGAAAUUCGUUGAUAUCAGGAGGAACAUCGGCGGCGAAGGCGGCCACCUGGCUCGGUACUGACGCUCAUGUGCGAAAGCGUGGGUAGCAAACAGG